CAGAAAGCCCAGGUAAAUUUGAAUUUCAAGUAAACAAUGAAUAAUUGUGUAUGUAAGUAUAUCCCAUACAAUAUUUGGGGCAUACUUAUGCUAAAAAUUAUUCAUUGCUUAUCUGAAAUUCAAAUGUAACUAGGAUUCCUGUA
ensembl:miRNA